GUUAGAGUAUGUAUCCAUAGGCG
rnacentral:piRNA from 1 species